UACGUAGGGUGCGAGCGGUAAUCGGAAUUACUGGGCGUAAAGCGUGCGCAGGCGGCUUUGCAAGACAGAUGUGAAAUCCCCGGGCUCAACCUGGGAACUGCAUUUGUGACUGCAAGGCUAGAGUACGGCAGAGGGGGAUGGAAUUCCGCGUGUAGCAGUGAAAUGCGUAGAUAUGCGGAGGAACACCAAUGGCGAAGGCAAUCCCCUGGGCCUGUACUGACGCUCAUGCACGAAAGCGUGGGGGGCAAACAGG
rnacentral:rRNA from 1 species